rnacentral:rRNA from 1 species
AGGGAAUUUUCCGCAAUGGGCGAAAGCCUGACGGAGCAACGCCGCGUGAAUGAUGACGGCCUUCGGGUUGUAAAAUUCUGUUCUAAGGGAAGAAGUUCUGACGGUACCUUAGGAGAAAGCCACGGCUAACUACGUGCCAGCAGCCGCGGUAAUACGUAGGUGGCAAGCGUUGUCCGGAAUUAUUGGGCGUAAAGCGCGCGCAGGCGGUUCUUUAAGUUGGGUGUUAAAGGCAGCGGCUCAACCGCUGUUCGCACCCAAAACUGGGGAACUUGAGUGCAGGAGAGGAUAGUGGAAUUCCCGGUGUAGCGGUGGAAUGCGUAGAGAUCGGGAGGAACACCAGUGGCGAAGGCGACUGUCUGGCCUGCAACUGACGCUGAGGCGCGAAAGCGUGGGGAGCAAAC